rnacentral:siRNA from 1 species
CCUUUGUCGAGACAGGAUACCU